UUGCCUCAGUAACGGCGUAGUGAAGCGGCAAGAGCUCAAAUUUGAAAUCUGGCCCCUCCGGGGCCCGAGUUGUAAUUUGUAGAGGAUGCUUCGGGUGCGGCCCCCGUCUAAGUGCCCUGGAACGGGCCAUCGGAGAGGGUGAGAAUCCCGUCUGGGACGGGGUGUCCGCGUCCAUGUGAAGCUCCUUCGACGAGUCGAGUUGUUUGGGAAUGCAGCUCUAAAUGGGUGGUAAAUUUCAUCUAAAGCUAAAUACUGGCCGGAGACCGAUAGCGCACAAGUAGAGUGAUCGAAAGAUGAAAAGCACUUUGAAAAGAGAGUUAAACAGCACGUGAAAUUGUUGAAAGGGAAGCGCUUGCGACCAGACUCGCUUCCGGGGUUCAGCCGGCUUUCGGGCCGGUGUACUUCCCCGGGGGCGGGCCAGCGUCGGUUUGGGCGGCCGGUCAAAGGCCCCUGGAAUGUAACGCCUCUCGGGGCGCCUUAUAGCCAGGGGUGUCAUGCGGCCAGCCUGGACCGAGGAACGCGCUUCGGCACGGACGCUGGCAUAAUGGUCGUAAACGACCCGUCUUGAAACACGGACCAAGGAGUCUAACAUCUACGCGAGUGUUCGGGUGUCAAACCCGUGCGCGCAGUGAAAGCGAACGGAGGUGGGAGCCCCCUCGAGGGGCGCACCAUCGACCGAUCCUGAUGUCUUCGGAUGGAUUUGAGUAAGAGCGUAGCUGUGGGGACCCGAAAGAUGGUGAACUAUGCCUGAAUAGGGCGAAGCCAGAGGAAACUCUGGUGGAGGCUCGCAGCGGUUCUGACGUGCAAAUCGAUCGUCAAAUUUGGGUAUAGGGGGCGAAAGACUAAUCGAACCAUCUGGUAGCUGGUUUCCUGCCGA
rnacentral:rRNA from 1 species